GGGGGGAGAGUAUCGAUAUGGGCGUAAGCGUGUGUAGGCGGUUCGUAUAGAUAGAUGUGAAAUCCCAGGGCUCAACCUUGGAACUGCAUUUUUAUCUGCCGAAUCUUGAUAUGUAAAAAGGGAGGUAGAAUUCCCCGUGGUAACAGUGAAAUGUCUAAAAUUUGUGGAAGAAUACCGAUGGCGAAGGCAGACCCCCUGGGAUCAAUACUGACGCUCAAAGCCCAAAGCCUGGGGAACAAACCGGGAUUAAAUUCCCCUGGUAGUCCCCCCCCUAAACCAUGUCUAGUAGCUUUUGGGGCCGUUAGGCCUUAGUAGACCAGCUUACGCGUGAAGUUGACCGCCCUGGGGAGUACGGUCCGCAGAUUAAAACUUCAAGGAAUUGACGGGGACCCGCACAAGCGGUGGAUGAUGUGGAUUAAUUCGAUGCAACGCGAAAAACCUUACCUACCCUUGACAUGUCUGGAAAGCCCAAGAGAUUUGGCCUUGCUCUUCAGAGAACCGGAACACAGGUGCUCGCGUGGUCUGUCUCUCACUCUCUGUGCUCGAGAUAUGUUGGGUUAAUUCCCGCAACGAGCGCAACCCUUGUCUUUAUUUGCUACGCUAAAUCACUCUAUUGAGACUGCCUGUGACUAAUCGGACGAAGGAGGGGAUGAAUUCAAGUCCUCCUGGCCCUUAUGGAUAGGGCUUCACACGUCCUACCAUGGUCGGGACCUACGGACGCCUACCCGCUAGGGGGAGCCAAUCUCAGAAUCCCCAUCUGAUUCUCGAUCGCAUUCUGCAACUCUACUGCGUGAACUCGGAUUCGCUAGUCAUCGCGGAUCAGAAUGUCGCGCUGAUUAGAGGUUAGCUCUGGCUCAGAUUGAACGCUAGCGGGAUGCUUUACACAUGCAAGUCUAGCGUCAGCCCGAGAGUCCUUGCUCUCUUGGUGGCGAGUGGCGGACGCAUGAGUAAUAUAUCGGCCUGUGCCCAGUAGCGCGGGAUAAUGACUAGAAAGAGUGGCUAAUCCUGCAUAUUCCGUACGGGUGAAAGGGGGGGAUGGCAAGACCUAUCGUUACUGGAGCGGCCGAUAUUGGUUUAGUUAGUUGGUGGGGUAAUGGCUCAACAUGGCAGCGAUCGGUAGGUGUUUUGAGAGGGCGGCCCGCCACAUUGUGAGUGAGACUCGCCCCAGACUCUUGCGGGAGGCCGCAGUGCGGAAUUUUGGGCAAUGGGGGAAAGCGGGAUCCAGCCCUACCGGGUGUAUCAUGAAGCCCUCAGGGUGGUAAAGUACUUUUGGCAGAGAAGAAAAGGCAUUCCUUAAUACGGGAUGAUGAUGACGGUAUCUGCAGAAUAAGCCCCGGCUAACUUCGUGCCAGCAGCCGCGGUAAUACGUAGGGUGCAAGCGUUAAUCGGAAUUACUGGGCGUAAAGCGUGUGUAGGCGGUUCGUAAAGUCAGAUGUGAAAUCCCAGGGCUCAACCUUGGAACUGCAUUUGAUACUGCCGAUCUAGAGUAUGUCAGAGGGAGGUGGAAUUCCACGUGUAGCAGUGAAAUUCGUAGAUAUUUGGAGGAAUCCCAGGGCGAAGGCAGCCCCCUGGACAUACGACGUAGGCCAAGAGUUAAAA
rnacentral:rRNA from 1 species